AGCUCCAAUAGCGUAUAUUAAAGUUGUUGCAGUUAAAAAGCUCGUAGUUGAAUUUCUGUCUAGAAUUACCCGAGCAACUCAGUUGUUUUCGUGGUGCAAUCUAGACAUUUCUCCAGAGAACGUCACUGUACUUCACUGUAUGGUACGGUAUCUGGGACUUUUACUUUGAGAAAAUUAGAGUGUUUCAAGCAAGCAUACGCUUUGAAUACUGCAGCAUGGAAUAAUUUUAUAAGACUUUGGUCUUAUUUUGUUGGUUUCUAAGACUGAAGUAAUGAUUGAUAGGGACAGUUGGGGGCAUUCGUAUUUAAUUGUCAGAGGUGAAAUUCUUGGAUUUAUUAAAGACGAACUACUGCGAAAGCAUUUGCCAGGGAUGUUUUCAUUAAUCAAGAACGAAAGUACG
rnacentral:rRNA from 1 species